GGGUCUGUUUUCUCUGUUUUGACCUUACAAGACGUAUCUUUCAUUUGAUACUGUCUGGGGUCUGUUUUCUCUGUUUUGACCUUACAAGACGUAUCUUUCAUUUGAUACUGUCUGGGGUCUGUUUUUCACUGUUUUAGACCUUACCAGCUGUACCUUUCAUUUGGUACCUUCUGGGGUCUGUGUCUCCACUUGUUAGACUGAACCAGGCGUGUCGUUCGUUCGAUACUUUCCUGGAGUCUAUGAAUUCCUUGCCUUAGUCAGCAGUCCUCACUGCUGAGGCAUAUGAUAUUCCCUGGUGUCUCUUGCUUUCUUUAAUAAUCAAAUUCAGCAUUUUGAUAAUGAUAGCAAUUAAGGGAAAACUACUUUUUACCACAUAACACUGACCAGUCUUGGUAGAAGG
rnacentral:lncRNA from 1 species